AUAGGGAUCUUGUUCUGUGCCGUGGGUGGCAAAAAAUAUCUCACUAUUACUAUACUUGUCAUAGAAAUAUGUUGUGUCAUUCCUGCCACUCGAGCGUGUGUGUGUCCUACAGAUCAUUUAACUUGUGAGCAGGCACAAAAAUUCCCAAAAGGGAGCAAGUAUUUUGGGUAAUAUUUCCCUUUCUAUGAGAAAAUCAUUAGUCAAAAGGAGGGAGAUGGUGUUUCAAAUAAUUUCAAAAACAUCUAGAAGCAUUUACAAAACUUUGACGUUGAUUUACAAAUUGAUUUAGAAUAACACAUGACCCAAACAAAUGCAAGUUUAAACAAACUUUUUUUCAGCGAUUUGACCCAAUUCGGAGUGUUGAUGAAACAUUCUCGUAAAUCGAAAGCAUAAUGCGCAAAAAUUUAUGUUUAACAAUUUAUGCAGCCGAGAUUCCCCCAAUUUGCCGGCAACACCAUGAAUCUCCGCCAGUGGGUGUGUUUACAUCUGCAGGAGGAAUAUAUCGAACCAAAUUACAACUUUACAACUUUCCGAGGCACUGGAAUGGAGGAACAGACUCUUCUGUCUUCUGUCUGUUUAUCAUAAAAAUUCGGAAAAGGAGAAGCGAACAGAACUGGCUGGAAAAAAAAUCGAAAUCAGUGAGAAACAUGGCAAAUGUUUACACAAAUUACGAAUCUGAAUCCCCCGCCACCGUAUUUGCCCCUCAGUUGUGUAUAUUUGAACGGCUACCGUAUUGGAAAAUAAACCAAUUGCCUUGUGCAUUCGUUAGAUACGAGAUACGAUAUAUGUAGAUACAUUCGUAUCUGUGUGUGAAUUUAUUUUCGGAGGUGUGUGUGUGUGCCGAGGACGUGCAAACAUUUCCCAGCAAACUGCCAAAAGGAGUAUGUCACACGAUAAUAUUUUCCCAAAUGUCUAGUAUUUGGUAAAUAUAUAGGAAAUGUGAUUCUAAUGGAGAGGAGAAAGUUUAUUUCUAAUUAAAAAUUAAUAUAAGGAUAUCUAAGGACCCUUUUCUUUUAUAUCUCUAUUUUAUUCUAGACAGUUUCACCUUUAACUCCUAUCUAUGGGAGUCGAAGCCGGACUGAAAGCAAAGCGGAUUGAAGGUGUUAAAUGGGCAUGAAACAGCUGCAAUGCGGAGGACGACGACAACGAAAAGGGACAACUGGAAGGACAACAACUCGCAGGACAAUCACCAAAUAAAUACAAACAACAUGGGCAUUGAGAGUUUUUCCGAAACCCCCCUCCGCUUUUUCCUCCCGAAAAAGCUCAAAGGACGAGCACCGAAAAUUCCCAAUUGUUAAUGCAUGUUGGUAUAGGGUCCCUGGCAUUGGGGAGAUCGAUCGGCAAUGUCGACGACUCCGGUCAUAUGUAAAUACCAAUUUACGCUACGGAAAUGUCAGCACAACAAUUACAACAGUCAUGGGGCAGACCCAUUGGACCUUUAACCCUUUGAGAGGCCGUUUUAACAGGAAUGCGAGGUGUGCAGCCUGCUCCCUGUUCACUGUUUGCUUUUAAUUUUGUUUCUAGGCAUAUUAAUUUCCACAUCGAUUGGGAAAAUACAUGUAUAUUUUAUAACUGACCCAGGAUGCAGCCGCACCUUGAAAGGUGGCACACACCCCCUCUAGUAAGCCUCCCUGCCCUCUAGUGACCUAAAUACAACUAAUUGGCCGUGACGUAA